GUGAACUCCAUCUCAUCCAUGCCCUCCCCAGUGUACCAAUGCAGGAAAGCCUUGCGUCGGAACAUGACUGUAAACUGCUCGGAAACCCUCUUAAACAUCUCCUGGAUCGACGUCGAAUUGCCCAUAAAUGUGGCCGACAUGCUCAUGCCGUGUGGCGGGACGUCGCAGACGCUAGACUUGACAUUGUUCGGGAUCCACUCGACGAAGUAGGAGGAAUUCUUGUUCUGGACGGCAAUCAUCUGCUCGUCGACUUCCUUGGUGCUCAUUUUGCCU
rnacentral:misc_RNA from 1 species